AGUCAUACAAAGGGGUUAGUGCCAGAAUUGUGACUUGCCAGUCGUUUACAAUCUCAGGUGACCACGUUGCCUUCCAGAGUAGGAGGAGAGAGGCCUGCUUAUUGUUCGUUUAAUGCAUUUAGUCUGAGCUUUGUACUGUUUCACUGGUUCAGUGAAACAGUGUUCACAAAGGGCUAAUGUCUGGCUAAUUAAGAAUGGAAGCUUUUCACAGACGGAGAAUGUAUGGGUUAGAAAUUAAUAUAUUUUAAAUAGACAUAAGUAACCUUUGAGCCACUGCCUUCUACAGCAAACAGUUCACCAUUUAUUAAAGGCAUGUAUUAAUCUAGUAAUACUUUUCAGCUUUUUCUAAUGAAUCUUCAUAAAUAUUUAAAUGUUCUAUCUGCCCAUUUGGCUUUAGUAGAGUAGCCCGAAGAAAAUAGCCUCGAUUUAGAGAUGUGGAUAGAUAAUAGUUUGAAUUAAUGUACAACUGAAUUCCUUGUGCUGUUUUCUUUACCAGCUGGAAAGCCUCUCACUGUCGGAAAGGCAUUCAGUAUGUUUGACAUUCAGGGUGGGGGAAUGUUUGUGUAAUUAUAAAUGUUAGACUUGCAAACACGCCUUUUGAUUGCAACAGCCUGAAGUUCCACAUGUCAAUGGGAAUAUAACUUUUCACAAGAUAAACCUUGGUUUAUGUACCUUGGCAUUGUCACUGUUCAUUUCUAUAUUAUUUCAGUAUGUAUAUCUUUAAAUUGGAUCUGAGUUUUACAUGUGUGCACAUUUCAGAUGAGAAGUGGAUAUAAUGUGAGUAUUCUUGUCUAAACAUUCAGUUGCCACAGCUUCUGUGGCUGUAACACUUCUGGUAUUGUGAUGAAAACCUAACUCACACGGUAUGAGUAACUUACCUGUGAUCCUACAGGCUUGUGAUUUCUUGUGCCGUGCUUCAAAGCCUGAUAUUAAUUUGAGAAAGACUGUUGGGUCUGAAAAUUUUCAAGGGACUUAAUGUUCUUCUUUCCUAGUUGUGUAGCAGGAAAAAAAAUCUACACACUCUACAGUGUCUCUACAGUGUUGCAGGUGUAGUUCUGUUGGUUGGUUGGUUUCUUUAUUUGAUUUGGUUUCAGCUGAAAGAAUUACCUGAGAACUUGAGGAUGGGUCUUAGGAAGUGGAGUGGCUGCUGUCUGAUCUGAGGAGGAAGAAAGGAAUCAGACUGAAGUGGCCAUCAUGUCAUGUGAAGGAUUAUAUGUUAGGAAUACUUGUUAAAAUAUGAAACCUGAGAAUGGGUUUGAUUCUGCAACUGCUACCCAUGUGAAUCACACCAUCGUGAAAUGAAGAGUCAGAAAAUUUAUGUCAAACUUCAUAAUAGGCCUACAGCAUGCUUCUCCUAUAUUGAAACCAGUGCUUUCAGUAUUAUUGUCUUUGGAUUCAAUGUGGGAAACACUAUACAAAGUUAGUUCAGUCUUUUCUGUGUGUCCCAACUAUGUAGCUGUCCAGUAUUUAUAGCUUUGCUUAUUUUCCUUUAGUCUCUUUUGUUCUUAUUGCUUUUUCCAUGUUGAACUCGGUCUAAUUUUCUAGAUGACAUCUUUUUCAUUUUAUUUUUCUCUAGAAACUUUUACAGAUCUUCAAGAUGUAGAAAGAAAAUAGAAGGAAAUGUUGUGUGCUUGUUUUCUGCAAUAUGUUUUCUUGAGACAAGGUUGAAAACAUUGUUUUUUUCAGUAUAAAAUAUCUUCUUUUUAUCAUUUUUGGAAGAUGAUAGUGCCUUGUCAUAUGACUAAAACAGGACUAAAUAGUACUGUAUUACAAGAUGCCUUGGUGUUUUUUAUGCUUUAAGCACCGUACGUAUGUUAUUCAUGAAUUAAUGACAGGGAUUGAGUUUCAACUCUGAUUUACAAGCUUGUUCCAAGGAACAAAAAGAGAACAGAAUGAGAAAUUUUUUUCAUGUGCACAUGUCUUCUGGCCAAUGCUUUUCUUUAACCAUUGAGGUUUCUGUGUGUGCUUUGGCUCUCAAUUUAAACUGCACAUUCUGGAGAAACAAAGGAAAAUAUGGGCUUAGAGAAGCACAUUUUCACCCGAAGACAGCUACUACAGAUCUUCCAAUUUUCAUCAUAUUUAAAACCAAAGAGUUAGCAGUGAGCAAUGAAAUGAAAUAAUGGAAUCUGUGAGAUUAAAUAAUUUUUAAUGUUGCAGUAUGGUGAAGACUAUGCCAAGGUACAAAGGGACUAUUUGUUCUUAGUUUUUGUUUCUGAUGUCAUCUGCUAUUAAAUGCAUCUCACCAACACAUUAUCUCCAUAUCAGAAGACAUUCCAAAUGCCUGUGCCACAUGUGAUGCUACUGAUUCAAAUCUUUCUUGUAUGAUAUAAAGUUGUGCUGGUCAUGCAAAAAGUGACUCAUCUACCAGACCUGAACUCUUGAUCAUCUUGUUCACUGUCAGCAGGAAAGGCUGUGAGACCUGCAGCUGUUCAGCCUGUUGAAGAGAAGACUGAGAGAGGAUCUUAUAAAUGCUAAUAAAUAUGUAAAAGGUGGUUGUCAAAUGAUGGGACCAGACUCCUGUUCAGUUGUGCCCAGCAACAGGACAAGAAGCAAUGAGCAUUAACUGGAGCACAGUAAGUGCCAUCUGAACAUGAGGAAGAACUUUUUUACUUUGAGAGUGACAGUGCAGUGGAACAGGCUGCCCAGAGAGGCUGUAAAGUCUCCUUUCUAGGGAUAUUCAAAGCCCAUCUAGACACUUUCCUGCGUAACUUACUGUAGGGAACCUGCUCUAGCAUUGGUCUUGAUGAUCUAGGGGCAUUGGUCUUUGUGAUCACCAGUGGUCUCUUCCUACAGUUCAGUGAUUUUGUAAAAUACCAUUAAAAAAUUACAUUUGGAAGCCUAGUUUUAUUGAAGUCGAUAGCAACUACGAGAGUUAUCUGCAGAGGGAUGAAAAUCUGAAUGUCAGCAUCCUCUUGGAAUGGAAUUGUCUUGUACAAAAAAAUUCCCAAAAUAACUAACAAAACCAAAACUAACCCCGCCCCCCCAAAAAAAACCUCCAAAUGCAAAAACCAGCAGCUUGAAAUUCUUCUUCUGAAUGCUUUUUACUAGCACAAAAUCGAAAGUGGAACAUAAAGAUAACAGUUUAGUCUGGGUCUAGACCUCAUUCUAGAAAUAUAUUUAAUCCUCUUAAAGCUGUAUUGCAGCAUUAUUAAUAUAUAAUUUUCUUGUUUAUAAACCAUUCUGGCACAUAAUAAAUAUAGAGGGUGCUGCAGAGAAGUUUUUAUUUUGGUUUGGUUUUAGAAACUUCUACCUUAAAUUACAUGGUUAAUAUAUUUGAUUGCCCUUGAACUGAUUUAUAAUUAAAGUAUUGAUCAUAAAUCUUUUGCACUGAAUAAAUGCUUUUCAUGGCUGGUCACAUUAUCAGCAGGCACCAAGAAGAAAGUAAUUUGCAAGAUGCUUAUACCUCGAAAAGCUAAAUUCUUUCUUCUGUUCAUUUUUAAAUGCCAUGUUGGAGGUGAGUGAUACUGCUAGAAGAGCACUGUUUUGCUCUAGAGAAUCUGCUUUAGCAGAGGGAUUGAAGUCAACGAUUCCUUCCAACCCCUAUGAUUCUGGUGGUUUUGUGAUUCUGCAUGACUAUCUUAUGAUUCUACAAAAUUUGCCUGGUUUUCUCUUCCAUUCCUCCUUUGUCCCACUUUCAUUUAUACACUGAAGCAUUCAUAGCACAAUUUCUGCAGUUCUACACAAUGACCUUGAAUCUUCUCUCUGGUUGCCCUACAACCGUAAUGUAUGUUAUGAUGUAAGAAGAAAAUCCACUCCUGCUUAAAGAGUGUGUCUAGCACAUGUGGACUGCUAAAGAACCACAGAAUUUCACCCCAAAUGCAGAUUGGUUUGGAAUAAUAGCUCUUAAUGUUCUCUAAAUAGCAGAAUUGCACACAGGAAAUUAAUAAAAAAUACUUUUUACAAGUAUGAGCGUGUGUAGAGUCACUGAAAGUCAUCUUGUAUUUGUGUGGAUUUCUUGUGGUCUGUUCAAAGUAGCUGCAAUAAAAUAGGCACUUCUAUUUUCUGUUGAAGAAAUUAAAGCUCACACAAUUGUAUCUCUGUGAUUAAGUUUUAUGAUUAAAUUAAGUAGAAAAUAAAUAAAAAAGUGCAGACAAACUGAGUCAUACCAUUCUUCAUGCAAAUUGUACCCA